AUGUCAGAUGCAAAGCCCAGCACCUCAUUAAGAUCAUAUUGGCAUACUCUCCUAAAAAAAGAGCAGACCCCAUUGAAGACGGGAGUGAGGUACAACAAGGCCAUUUCCGUCCACCUUCUCACGGAGCCGUACAUGGACGUUACCGCUCAUACAGCUCCCAGCCAGCAAGCAGUUAACUUUCCACCGUCUGUCCUCCAUGGAAGGUUCCUCCUGCAGCUUCUAAUUGUACAAGCAAGGCACGCACAAGUCCAACUAUGUAUGAUUACAGGGCAUCAACCCCACUGA
rnacentral:rRNA from 1 species